GCAGGAACCUAGGUAAAGCGAGGGAUACGUUUCACCUACCUAAAACCUAUCUAACUGGCGAACUACUCAGGGAAGAGGGGUGGGAAAACACGCAACCAUUUUACCAUGAUGUCAUCCCAAACAGGAACAAAUGAAGAAUCACUAGCUCCGGUCACAUCAACACACUACUAUUGAAGGCCAUUAUCUGCUCAAAUGGCCUUCCAUAAAACUAAUGGGCUGACAAUCACCGCAAUGCUCCUCCCAACCACCAGGGUGUGUGCUUCCUGACACUGCAGCUCUGCACUGAUGCUCAAUGGAGAAAUACACAGCAUCCCAACAGCAUUUCCUUGUGACCUCAUUUCUUCAUUUAAUAAACACUGAAUUUUACUCGCUUUGUUGCCAAGUACAAUGAA